rnacentral:tRNA from 1 species
GCCGAAGUGGUGGAAUUGGCAGACACGCCAUCUUGAGGGGGUGGUGCUCUACGGGGCGUGCGGGUUCAAGUCCCGCCUUCGGCACCA